UACAGAGGGUGCGAGCGUUAAUCGGAAUUACUGGGCGUAAAGCGUGCGUAGACGGUUAUUUAAGUCGGGUGUGAAAGCCCCGGGCUCAACCUGGGAAUUGCAUUCGAGACUGAAUAGCUAGGGUACGGUAGAGGGAAGCGGAAUUCCUGGUGUAGCGGUGAAAUGCGUAGAUAUCAGGAGGAACACCUGCGGUGUAGACAGCUUACUGGACCAUAACUGACGCUGAGGCACGAAAGCGUGGGUAGCAAACAGG
rnacentral:rRNA from 1 species